rnacentral:tRNA from 1 species
GAUUACUUAAAAAUUCAACUGGAUAGAGCAUCCCGAUUCAAUCGGGACUGUCUCAGGUUCGAAUCCUGACGCGCUCA